rnacentral:rRNA from 1 species
UGGUGGAGUGAUUUGUCUGCUUAAUUGCGAUAACGAACGAGACCUUAACCUACUAACUAGUUACGCGAACAUUUUCGUUCGUGGCGAACUUCUUAGAGGGACUUUUGCGUGUUUUAACCAAAGGAAGUUUGAGGCAAUAACA